CAAUCGUCAGGACGCCCCAGCCGCCAGAGCCCUUCGCCACCGCCGAGAUCCGAGAGGAGCCGCCGCCUCCAGGUCAUCACCGAGGUCCGCAAUCGCCGACGUUGAGGUCCGAGAGGAGCCGCCGCCGCACCGUCUUCCUCCUCCGCCAAUCUCCGAGGCGCCCUACUCGUGCGCCGCCGUCGCCGCCUCACAGAACCCUAGGGCAGGGCAGGGCGUGGUCGCGUUGCGGGCAGCGAGGAGCGGCGCCGGCGCUUGCGUCGCCAGUUAGCGAGAGAGGAAGGGAGUGACGACGAUGUCUUCGUGCGAGGACAAGGACUCUGCUGCCGCGCAGGCCGCGGCGACCACGGACGUGGAGCUGCUGAAGCAGUUUUGGCGCAACGAGAAGGCCGCGCUGGAGAUCUGCCACUUCGACUCCGCCCUCGUCUCCCUUGCCCUAUGGCCAUUGGUUGUGUCAUCGUUCUUCACAAUACUGAAUGUUUCUGAUUCUUCACGGCCUGUGCUGAAACCAGGAGGAGACGUUCGAUGACUUCACGGAUAACGACAUCGACGACUGGUGGUUUCGCUGUACCAGAUGGAGCUCGAUCGCACGCUCUUCCUGCUUUGCUCUAUGGUCAUACCUACACCUCCGCCUGCAAAAGCUCAGACUGAAUUCAGUCUCUGUAAUUCAGUCUCUAUAGUUUGUACCGCACAGUGGUUCAGUUACUAACUGAAAUGUUGCAUUAUGCAAUUACUUGACCUCAUCGUGCUGCUGUAUAUAGAUUGAAAAGUACAUGGCGCACAUCUCCAAUUCUUACGACCUCCUGAGCUGGUUGAUGCAGCAGGAGCAGCGAUUCACCAAGAGCUGCAAGGAGAUCAUGGAGAAGCAUCUCAGAGCAGUCGGUGCUGUCGAAGCUUCCCUACGGUUAUGACUCGUUGUUGCCUCCAUUGCGCGCUCGGCCUAGCUCCUGCGCCCCCUCUCGGGCUCGACCUCCCGCUGUACCUCUCCUCGACCAACUGGCCCGCCUCCCCACAUGCAUCACCAUGCUCCCCAAUGGUGUCCGCGCCUCCGAGUAGAUCCUGGUCCCUCGGCAUGUGUGGGGGUGUUCACGGCGUCCGGCUUGAUCAACGAGUUGUUGGAGUCCUCCGACAUGAAGGACCUGCUGGAUAAGUUGGCGUUCACGGACACGUCGCACGGGAGCCACUUGCAGAUGAUGUAGGAGGUGGAGGCCACGGGGGGCAACAUCGGCGCCUCCGCAUCUAGGUAGCAGUUGGUGCACAGCUACGACAUGCUCAUACAUACUGCGGGCCGUGCGUUGAACAGGAUUCUUUGAUGAUAAGUAACAGAUUUUUUCCUCCAGUGGCUGAAACAGGGGCUCCAUUUUCUCGAGUAUGGCCCUGGUUUAAAAAUCAGCGCUUGGCCACAGGCUAUGUCGUGCUCUAUUCGACCAUGCCUCCAACAUGCCCCUGGUCGCACACGCUGCUACCUUCCUUGACGGCCUCUUCGCCACCCGUGUGUGCCGCGUUGCUGUCGUCUCCAUGCCACCCAUCAGUUGCGGUGGCGACUCAACAACUACCUUAUGCACCUAGACCCAUCUGCUUCUCUGAUUUGAUUUUGUGGGUUGCACUGAUCUCUCUUAGUACAUGUCUAUUUGCAGAGAAAUUAUUUAGAAUUCAGGCUUCAGGGAAGACUGAUCCAGACUGGCGGUACAUUUCUAAACAUUGUGCUUUUGACAUCUGUGGGGAACUUCACUAAACAAAUUCUGAUCCUUUAGGUUUAUGAACUUUGAAUUCUGAAUUAUAUUAAGCCAAACAUUUUGUUGCUGUGCCAUUUAUUACAUCCAUCUCUGAUUCUUCCCAUAAAACCAACGUCCUUAUCUGCAUUUUUGGGGAACUUCACAUAGCCUUCUGGUCUACUUACUAUAUAUACAUAUAUACAUGGUUUUGCCAUCUAGCUAGAAGUUGAUUGGUCAAGCAUGCCAAAAAAAAAUAGUUAGGUGGUGCUAUGCGUUUCUCGGAAUUAAUAUAACUUGUGACAAUAAACUGAUUGCGGGAUCGAAACUUGCUGCAAUUUACUGCUAGGAAAUCUUAUAAUUGGGCAGCACAAUAACAGAGAGGAGAGUUGCUAAUUCACUUCUAAUGAAUGUGCUUUGGGACCCCUAGCUUGCUUAUUCACUGGGAAUAAGAGGGCAUUACAGUUCUCAUCUACUAUACAUUUUUGGAGACUUUCGAUUUCCUACCUAGGUGCAUGAUGUCUAUAUGAAUAUUUUUCUGCAAAGUCUUAACCAUCAAGCAAUAUGUCGGCGCCUUCGAUGUAGAGUUGAUUAUACUGUCUAUUCUACUGCAAGUAGGGAAAGAUGGACUCUGGAUAUCCAUAUCCUUAGGUGUUAAUGUACUGCUAGGCCAUAUAGUAUAUGACUGAGUUCUUUCACCUCCUAAUCCUGGGAGUAAUUCAAUUCAAUAGUUAGGCAUUUGCGUUCUGCAUAUAAUUGACUAACAGCAAGUAAGAGAACUGUUAGGUGCAUCCACACUCCUGCUUGAUCUAUGUCCGAGCUCCCUCCUUUGCAUAGCAAAAUCUGUUGAUGACUUACCGGACUGAAUGGAAUCGCUAAGUUGAUGUUCCAUGGAAUUGCUAACCACCUCUCAAAGGUUUAAUGUUUGAUCUCUUUGUUAUUGAUCUAAGAGAGAAAUGGGUUCUGCAGCUCUAAUGUGAUAGUAUUUGUAACAAACACUGACAAAAUCAAUACCUUGACAGGCAAUUACUUUGAUGCUUGGAAAAAAAUGUGGACUCAUUAGUGCCUCUCUUUAAAGUGUACAUGUUGUAAUAUAGCAAAAUUAGAGAAACAUCUUCAUUACCAUGCCCAUGUACAGUAUUACUUGCAUUGCAUAUCCCUUAGAUGAGAAUAAUCGAAUGUAUACAUAUAUGUAUAUCUUUAGUAGUCAUUUGAUACUUUUUUCUUCAUGUGGAGAGUCCAAUUUGUGAUAUUCAUCAAUGGAACCAAAACAUCUUCAGUUCUGUUUCCUAUUUCAAACUUUUUUCUCAUGAGGAAGAUUUUCAUUCAGAUGAUCUUAUAUCCUACACGUUGCAGGUACGUGUUUCUCUCUACUUUAUGCCUCAGAUUUGUUUCCCCUGCAAUAUGGAAUAUUAAUGUAUAUUCUUCUGAUGUGUAUCUUAUAAGGUUGUAGUACAUACAUAGUCUGUGUGUAUCUAUUGGUAUGCUGCAAACCUGGGUUGUGCAGGCAGCAGCUGGCUUUUCCAUUUGCUAUCUUUCUGUUCUCGGAAGCAAUUAAAUUUCUCAUCGUGCACCUGAGAAGAACCUAUAAUCUACA